GAUGAAGAACGCAGUGAAAUGCGAUACGUAAUGUGAAUUGCAGAAUUCAGUGAAUCAUCGAGUCUUUGAACGCACAUUGCGCCCCCUGGUAUUCCGGGGGGCAUGCCUGUCCGAGCGUCAUUGCUGCCCUCAAGCACGGCUUGUGUGUUGGGCCUCCGUCCUCCUCCCGGGGGACGGGCCCGAAAGGCAGCGGCGGCACCGCGUCCGGUCCUCGAGCGUAUGGGGCUUCGUCACCCGCUCUUGUAGGCCCGGCCGGCGCUUGCCGACACAUCAAUCUUUUUUCUAGGUUGACCUCGGAUCAGGUAGGGAUACCCGCUGAACUUAAGCAUAUCAAUAAGCGGAGGA
rnacentral:misc_RNA from 1 species